UUAAAUUGAAGAGUUUGAUCAUGGCUCAGAUUGAACGCUGGCGGCAGGCCUAACACAUGCAAGUCGAACGGUAACAGAAAGCAGCUUGCUGCUUUGCUGACGAGUGGCGGACGGGUGAGUAAUGUCUGGGAAACUGCCUGAUGGAGGGGGAUAACUACUGGAAACGGUAGCUAAUACCGCAUAACGUCGCAAGACCAAAGAGGGGGACCUUCGGGCCUCUUGCCAUCGGAUGUGCCCAGAUGGGAUUAGCUUGUUGGUGGGGUAACGGCUCACCAAGGCGACGAUCCCUAGCUGGUCUGAGAGGAUGACCAGCCACACUGGAACUGAGACACGGUCCAGACUCCUACGGGAGGCAGCAGUGGGGAAUAUUGCACAAUGGGCGCAAGCCUGAUGCAGCCAUGUCGCGUGUAUGAAGAAGGCCUUCGGGUUGUAAAGUACUUUCAGCGGGGAGGAAGGGAGUAAAGUUAAUACCUUUGCUCAUUGACGUUACCCGCAGAAGAAGCACCGGCUAACUCCGUGCCAGCAGCCGCGGUAAUACGGAGGGUGCAAGCGUUAAUCGGAAUUACUGGGCGUAAAGCGCACGCAGGCGGUUUGUUAAGUCAGAUGUGAAAUCCCCGGGCUCAACCUGGGAACUGCAUCUGAUACUGGCAAGCUUGAGUCUCGUAGAGGGGGGUAGAAUUCCAGGUGUAGCGGUGAAAUGCGUAGAGAUCUGGAGGAAUACCGGUGGCGAAGGCGGCCCCCUGGACGAAGACUGACGCUCAGGUGCGAAAGCGUGGGGAGCAAACAGGAUUAGAUACCCUGGUAGUCCACGCCGUAAACGAUGUCGACUUGGAGGUUGUGCCCUUGAGGCGUGGCUUCCGGAGCUAACGCGUUAAGUCGACCGCCUGGGGAGUACGGCCGCAAGGUUAAAACUCAAAUGAAUUGACGGGGGCCCGCACAAGCGGUGGAGCAUGUGGUUUAAUUCGAUGCAACGCGAAGAACCUUACCUGGUCUUGACAUCCACGGAAGUUUUCAGAGAUGAGAAUGUGCCUUCGGGAACCGUGAGACAGGUGCUGCAUGGCUGUCGUCAGCUCGUGUUGUGAAAUGUUGGGUUAAGUCCCGCAACGAGCGCAACCCUUAUCCUUUGUUGCCAGCGGUCCGGCCGGGAACUCAAAGGAGACUGCCAGUGAUAAACUGGAGGAAGGUGGGGAUGACGUCAAGUCAUCAUGGCCCUUACGACCAGGGCUACACACGUGCUACAAUGGCGCAUACAAAGAGAAGCGACCUCGCGAGAGCAAGCGGACCUCAUAAAGUGCGUCGUAGUCCGGAUUGGAGUCUGCAACUCGACUCCAUGAAGUCGGAAUCGCUAGUAAUCGUGGAUCAGAAUGCCACGGUGAAUACGUUCCCGGGCCUUGUACACACCGCCCGUCACACCAUGGGAGUGGGUUGCAAAAGAAGUAGGUAGCUUAACCUUCGGGAGGGCGCUUACCACUUUGUGAUUCAUGACUGGGGUGAAGUCGUAACAAGGUAACCGUAGGGGAACCUGCGGUUGGAUCACCUCCUUACCUUAAAGAAGC
rnacentral:rRNA from 1 species